UGGUCAUGUAUUUUGAUGACAUGAUUUGUGUUGAUGUUCUGCGUAUAAUCAGGAAAUAAGAUAUCAGGACAAGGCUAGGAGAGAAGUAUGGUGAAAAGCAUUUUUUGCUUUGUUAAUGCAGUGGGAGCGCCAUUGAAGACCAUGGGCGCAGCUUGGUCGAGCUACAAUGAGCGCAUCUGAUUCCAACACAUCAAGGGUUGCAUUGGAUAUUCACAGAACUCCAUAUCAUAUAGUUUGGGCAUAUCAUAUACAUUCCCUUCAUAGUUCAUGCAGUUUUAGGCUUUUAGCAGUAUGAAAAGUCAUAGAUAAUGUAAUGGUGACAUUUGGGAUUAUAUAAGUGUUAAUUGUCAGUCUCUGCCCCCAUGCAUUUGAAUGUUGCCUUGGUGACGAUCCUUAGGCUUGUCAAAAGUUGUGAAUCGAUAGGCAUUGACAAAAAAAGAUCUAAGCUCUAUGUUCUGAAAAACAGGUAGAGCAGCAGCUAUAGCACCCCUAGAGAGAUUGCGUUGACUGAUUCUCAUCGUAUAUAUAACUCAACUGUUUAAAGUAUUCUAUAUACACUGAAAUCGUGCUCAUAAUUUUUAAAAGUAUUCUAUAUACACUGAAAUUGAGCUCAUAAUUUUUUUAUCAUGUACCUUUUCUGCUAAAGAUCAUUACACUUCUCUUUGGUACAUCAAUGUUACUUCCAAAGCAAAGUCCCUCCUAGAGGACAGUUUCUUUUGUCAGAAGGGUGAGUGUGUUGUAUAUUUUAUUGUCCACUAAAUCAACUACUUCUGGUUACAUAUUGUGACAAAAUUAAGUAGGCAUAGGCUUCUUCAUUGAUUCUUAUACCGAAACUGAAUUUGUAUUGUGUUAAUACAUUAUAGUCAUCCUUGAAGGACUUGUGUUUUAUUGCCAUGCAUGCCUAAUGAUUGCUUGCUGAAGCAUUGGUCCUAAU